AAAAUUAAUAACUUACUCAAAAGUAACAUGGUGACUAUCCAGAACUCUGUUUGAGAUCUUUGAAAACAAAAUAGAGCUACCAAUUUGAGUGUAAAGGCCUAGAAAUGCAAAACGAAUGUAAAGUAUUCAUAAAAAUAAGCAAAAUAACAACUAUGUAUUAGCAAUGAAUUUCCAAUUAAAACUGUUCGCGUUGCUUUUCUUGUUCAUUUCGAAUGAGUUGCAUUAAAAAAACAAUUUUUUGAUUUACUUGGCACAAUUUUAAACAUUGCUCUAAAACAUUCGUAAACCCUACGUCGGUAUCAUGAAAACAAACUGAAUCACUUUUAAUAAGUCCUUCUGGUAUUGGUUCCUUUUGAAAAAUGGCAUUUUCGAACAUUAAAUGCUGGUAUUCCUCGUCUCCAGUCCCGAGAUUGACAGCUCUUUUUUGUUGUUUUCCGAACAUAGGAUCUACCCAAGCAAUAGAAAUUCGAGGUUUCUUGAAAGUCGGAGAAUUUUGAUUUGAUAAAAGGGAAGCAACUGAAAAGUCCGAUUUAUUUUUCAGUAGAAGUGAAAAUGCCUAAUAUCAUUAGUAAACUUUAAUAAAAAGGAAUCAUUAACAAAAUAGAUGUUUCAUAGGACAUAAGUAGCAGAUAAUGAGUGUUUUCAACAGUUGGGAGAAAAGCAACAAAUUCGCCCAACGAAUUUAUAAUCUUACUUCAUGUGAUCGGAUCUGUAAUUGCUUUUGCAAUUGUUCACGAGUUUCUAACGAUUGUAGAAGAGAAAGGACAUGAUCAUUGGUGGACAUUAGAAAUUUGUUAAAGAGAAAUAUAAAAAACAGCAAUAAACUAAAAUGAUGAGGGAUAUUGAGUGAAAUUGGGUAAAUGCACUAAUUCGAUGGAUUUAUUCCAAACUCUUCAAGGUUAAAAUGCAGAGGAAAGUAUUAAUAAGGUUUCCACAUAGCUUGAAAUGUGAUGAGUGAAAGAUGAAAAUCACAACAGGUCGAAAGGUAGGUAAAGAAAAGAUGAGGAAAACGAGUCAAAAGGAGAAUGACAAAUUGAUUAUCUCAGCUUUUACAGAGGUAAAAAAUGUAUGUAACAUAUGGCAUUGAAUUCGUCGUUCAUUGGAACAACUUUUUUUUUACUUGGCCUGCUAAAUACUGAGGGAAAAAAUGACAAUACUUUUGAUUAAGAGUAUUGAUUUUUCUUUUAUUUGAAAAAAAUUCCCAUGAAUUUUUUGCUUAAUGCUUUGAAUUAUUGGCGAGUGCUUGAUAUUGAAUUAUCGUGUUUAAGCGCUGGACAGUUUCAUGGGCAAAUACGACAUAUUUUUUCUUGUUAAGUAUUUUUCUAUUUCCUUGAAAAUCUGAUGUACGCAACACAUACUUUUGUAACAAAGACAACAUUGUUGUUUGUAAGAAGACCUAAAAAUGGAUGUCCAUUUCCAUCGCCUCAAACUUAGUGUUUCCCCCUUCUCAUAUGGUUAAAGAUAUUUCAAAAUAAUGUUUAUUUUCUUUUGUUGGGAGUCUUUACUGCUUUAUAGAGUUUUCAUAGGACACCUUACGUAGACUCUUCCUUCCAUCAGUUGAAGACCUAAAUUGUGUUUUUAAAUCUUUUCAUCCAGAAAAAACUACAAUUUAAAAGUCUUUGCACUUUUAAAAGCAAUUGGUCAGGAUUCCCUCUAUGACAGAUGUAAACAAAAAGGGAACUUGUGCAACAAUCUGUUGAAUUUUUAAUUAUAUGGUUUCGCAUUUCCUAUUCCUGCUGCAAGUCAGGGCAGUUCUUCACAUAAAAAGUAAAAAACCACUGAAAGCAAAAAAAUGAAUGAGUAUAUUGUGUUCAGCUAGGAAUACCCAUUUUUCAUCUUCCACCCCGGAUAUAAACAAACAUCUAGCCAGCCAGGUUCACAGAACUUCACCAAUCUUUUUCACGUUCUUUUUUCUUUCAACAUUAUAAUGUUAUUUUAAUAUUAUUUUUCUCUUCCCACUUUC